rnacentral:misc_RNA from 1 species
AACGCACGAGACCUGCGGACCUGCGGAAGGAUCAUUACCAAGAGAAAUCUUUCAACACUGAAAGAUCUUUUCCUUUGUGCUGGCUUUGACCGUAUGUAAUUUUGGGACUUUAAAAUGGUUCGCAAGGGCCGGUCCCAAAAACAAUAUAUCAUCCUUAUGAAAUUUUUUCUGAACAAUUAAACAAAUGAUUUUAAUAAUCUGUUUAAAACAACUUUCAACAACGGAUCUCUAGAUCGGAAG